CCCUGGAAUGCAUAUAUAAUUAUCCUGCAGUAACCCUGAGAGAUAGGACCUAUAAUUGUCCCCAUUAUAUGGAUGAAGAAAGUAAGGCACAGAGGGAUUAAAUAAUUUGCCACAAUCACAAAAUCACUUCAGCUGCUGUACAGAGAAUGGAUUGUGGAAGGUAAAAGUGAAAACAGUGGCCUUGGAAAAGAGAUGGCGGUGGCCUCAUCUAGGGGGAAGCAGAAGAUUUAAUUUACUUAACAGAGAGAGAGAGAGAGAGACCACAAGCAGAGAGAGCAGCAGGCAGAGGGAGAAGCAGGCUCCUCACUGAGCAGGGAGCCCAACUCCCUGAGCUUGUUCCCGGGACCCUGGGAUCAUGACCUGAGCCAAAGGGAGACGCUUAACCAACUGAGCCACCCAGGCGCCCCCACUUAAAGUGAGAAGGAGAAGGAGAAGGAAGGAAGGCACAGACGAGCCAGAGCUCAGGUUGAGCUCAGGGGACGUUCUUUGGCAUUAGGGACGGAGCUAUCCGGGUCAACAUUUCUUCAGUUCUGCUGUCUAUACCCUUCUCCUCCAACACAAUGGCCCUGUUACUUGAAUGUCUACUGAGGAGUUGAUCCCUUUGGAUUACGACUUUGUUAGUGGAGAUUACAUUGCAAAGACCUAAUCUUUCACUGCUACAUAGCUCUCCAGGUAGGUUUCAGUGGGUUGCAAGAUUUCAGCCUGCCAGAUAAAUAUCAUUUAUUGAUUAAUUCAAUUUCCAAAAAAACCAAUCAGGCCUAUUACAUUGAGUUGAUGGGAACCAGAUUAAAACAAAGGAAUCUGAGUAACUUAAAAAUACUUGACAAUUUCUAGUAGACUCCUUUGAAAUGGAGAGAACAGCUCUCAGACCCCUUUGGAGCCUUCAGGGUAAUGGAGGUGGGGGAGUAAAACGCUUGGACCCCUGUUGGAAAACCCUGUUCUGACCUUCUAUGGUAGAAUGCAUUUUAGAGAGCUCUGUUUGAUGGUAAGGGAAGAGAGCAGAGCGGAGCACCUGAGAAAUGAGGGGAGAGAAGUGAUGGUGAGAGAGGGUCAGAGAGUCCUUCUGGUUAUUCUGCCUUGAGGACACUUGUAGCUUUUAGCUAAUUAACUAAAUUAGAGCCAGCUUUGGUUCAGUUGGGAAGGCAUCCAUGGAAAGAUCAUGGAUUCUGAAGAGAGGUACAUUUAUACUUUAUUAUUAUUAUUGUUGGUAAGAUUUUUAUUUUUUUAUUUGGCAGAGAGAGAGUACAGGCAGGGGGAGAGGCAGGCAGAGGGAGACGGAGAAAUAGGUUUCCCACUGAGCAGGGAGCCCGCUGU